rnacentral:tRNA from 1 species
ACUCUGAUAGUUUAUAAAAAACAUUGGUCUUGUAAACCAAAGAAUGAAGAUUACACUUCUUAGAGUU